UAAUAAGUGUUUUACUGCACUUUUUAAACAAGUACUCACCUUGUGUGCAAUGUUUGCUGACAUCGUCGUUCACGCGUCGCGUCAGCAUAAUACCAACCCUUUAUUGAAACUUUUUUGUCUGAAGAUAUUUUGAAUAAAUAAUUCUAAAUA
rnacentral:misc_RNA from 1 species